GAGAAGUACCACUGACAUGCAUACUUUGUUUCUGCUCUGUGAGGAGCUUAUUACAUAGUUUAUUGAGCCAAGGUUAGCUAGCAUAUGUGAAGCAAAUGUGAAGCAAUUGAGAUCAGAACUGAAAGGCAUUGACUGUAAAAUGUGGGAAUGCCUCAGUGAAAGAAAUGACUGGUGGGUCCAAAGCAAUCAGAUACAUGAAUAAGGUAGGACAUGAUCAGAUCCUUCAACAAUGAGCUGGAUUUAGAAAGAAAAAGCAAGGAAAAGAAAGGUAUUUGAGCAAAGUGAUGGACAGCCCAAGAAACAGAAGCAUGAAUGCCAGUGAGGUUCGGGUCUGUCUGCAGCACAUGGGGGUGCCAAGCUCCCAUUUGGAGCUGAAGAACUGCUUGUCUUUAUUCCACCCAACAGGGAAUGCAGUAUGCAUCUAGGGGGUGGGACAGUGAGUUUCUUUCUCAGGAAACCAGAGACAUCAAGAGAGUUCAGAACAGAGGGAGGAGGAAGUUCUAGAGGACAGAGGGAGAAUCUACAAGGUCAUGAAUGGAAAGGUCCAGAACAGAUGUCCUGGCCCCAGAUAGAACAAGAUUCCAGGGAGAUGAGAGCAAGACCAGGAGAUGGAGAGGAAGCCUACCAUCUGCCACCAUCACCUAGAACACCUGUUGUGACAUGUCGCCCGGCAUGAAGAGGAGCCCUAUGUGAGGAAAGGCUCAUAUAAGCUGUCAACUAAGUUGUCCUCCAAAGUUGAUGAUAGUCAUGCCUUCAGGUCCAUCUAGAAGGAAAGACUCAUGCCAACUCUCAUCCAGGAGCAGCUAUUUUAGACCUCAUUCUCUGGACUCUUGCCCCUCCCAUGUUGGAGCCAAUUCUGGAGAUUUAGGAGUAUAUCUUCAGACUCUAGGCUCGCCAGCAGGUCCUGCAGCCACAUACCUAGUAUUACCUGCUGCACCCUUUUGUAGAAAGGGGUUCCUGUGCUACCCCAGAACUUGAUUUAGGAACUGAGCCUCCAGCCUGACUCUGACCAUCUGGGUACAAGCACCUUCAACAGUGGUAGCAAGAGUUGGUCAAAAAGGAACAUGUACCUGACCUGCUAGACCCAUGGGAUAUUAGAGACCCUUAGCAGAAUCACCUGGGAAUUCUGAGAAGUGCCUGGAACCCCACAUGCAGGACACAUUAGCAAUUCGGUUGCCCAGCAUCCACUGUUGCCUCCAUAGCAGCACUGCCAGACUGACUUCUGGGGAACUACCCCCCAGUAAACUGUAAACAGCAGUGGAGACUGUCAGUCAAGCUGCUCUGCCCUCCCUCGCCAAAGCUACCACCUGGCCUCAGUUGCGUUGAACUCAGGAUUAAAUGGCAGCACUGAUAGUUACUUGCUUGACACUCACAGACACUCAAUGGAUAUCUAUCUGUUCAAUGACUGAUUCAGUCAGUUAUUCCAAGAAAAUGGUAUAGGCGAUCAAUAUUAGUAUAAGACUUAAAAAGCCUCAUGACUGAAGAUCAAUCAUACAGAGCCAAGUCACGUGACUUCUUAAUCAAGCCGAGGGUUGUUCUCAGCAACCAGUGGCUACUAUCAAGCCCUUUCCAUGUGUCUUCCUCCACCUUCGAAGCCAGCGAUGGUGUAUCAAGCCCUUCUCAUGCUUCGACAAGUCUCUCUGAACCUCCUUGUCUAAUAAGAUAUAUAAAAUGUGCACAAAAUAAUCUGUAGUUAUGGAAAUAUACAGAAAAUGUCAGAGGCCAGGGCACUCAUUAAACUAAUCAAAAUUUUUGAGUGGCUGGAUGAUAGCUAAUUUUGUUUUCAUACUUUUGUGUGCGUUUUCUUAAUUGUUUUUGCAUUCAGUAUGUACUAUUUUUAUAGGUUUUGUUAGAAAAGCAUAAA